CGGGGCGGGCCCUGCCCGGGUCCCGCCCUUGGUGGGGCGGUUGCAGCAUCGGCGGCUACGGCUACGGCUACGGCUACGUGCGCGGGGUGUCGCGGCGGGUCGUGCCGGUUCGGAGCUGCGGGGAGCUCUGAACCCGCCGCGGCGGUGGCGGCCGCGCCCAUGGCGAGCAGCAGCGGCGGCGGCGGCAGGUAGGGUCGGGCGGGGCGGGGGCCCGCUCCCCCGGCCAUGGCGCAGACGGAGCCCCCGAAGGCGGUGCAGCUGUGGCGCGACGCCGCCCUUCGCGCGCGGAAGCUGCGGGGCGGCCCCGGCGAGCCAGAGCCGGAGCCCGAGCCGGACGCGGGGCCGCCGGGGGGGCCGCCAGCUCCCCCCGCCGCCGCCGCCGUGCCCCGCCGCCUGACCUCGGCGGCGGCCCUGGGGGAGCUGGAGGCUCUGAACCUGAGCGGGCGGGGGCUGGAGGAACUGCCUGAGGAGGUGGGCGCCGCCCUGAGCGGGCUGCGGGUGCUGAGCUUGCGGCGUAACCGGCUGGGCCGCCUGCCCGCCGCCGCCCUCCGCCACCUGGGCCGCCUGGCCGAGCUCGACCUCAGCCACAACCGGCUGCGGGGCUUGGGGGACGGCGGGGCGCUGGCAGAGUUGCGGAGCCUGCGCAAGCUCAGCCUCAGCCACAACGAGCUGGGCGCCGAGGGCCCGGGCCUGCCUCCCCGCCUCUCUGAGCUGGGCCGCCUCGAGGAGCUUGACCUCAGCUUCAACCGCCUGCGCCGCCUGCCCGAGGGCCUAGGCCGCCUGCAGCACCUCCGCACCCUCGACGUCGACCACAACCUGCUGCCCUCCUUCCCCGCCCCGCUGCUGGAGCUGGCUGCCCUGGAGGAGCUCGACUGCUCUGGCAACCGCCACCUCGGGGCCCUGCCCGAGGGCAUCGCUGCCCUCCGCCGCCUCAAGAUUCUCUGGCUGAGUGGCACCGGCCUGGCGACCCUGCCCGAGGGCCUCUGCCAGCUGAGUGCCCUCGAGAGCCUCAUGCUGGAUGGCAACCGGCUGCAGGCGCUGCCCGCUGGCUUCGGCAACCUGCAGCGGCUCAAGAUGCUGAACCUCUCCUCCAAUCUGCUGGGGGAGUUCCCUGCUGCCAUCUUGGCUCUCCCCAGCCUGGAGGAGCUCUACCUGAGCCGCAACCAGCUCACCCUGCUGCCUCCUGGUCUUUGUCAGCUCCACCAGCUCCGAACGCUCUGGCUGGACAAUAACCGCAUCCGCUACCUGCCUGACUCCAUCGUGCUCCUCCACAGCCUGGAGGAGUUGGUCCUGCAAGGCAAUCAGAUUGCCAUCCUCCCUGAGGGCUUUGGGCAGCUUUCCCGAGUCACCCUCUGGAAGAUCAAAGACAACCCCCUCAUCCAGCCCCCCUAUGAGGUGUGCAUGAAAGGCAUCCCUUACAUUGCAGCCUACCAGCAGGAGCUGGCCCACUCUCAGCCUGCCCUCAAACCCCGCCUCAAGUUGGUCCUUAUGGGCCUAAAAGAUGCAGGAAAGACCUUGCUGAGACGGUGCCUCAUGGAGGAGGAUGGGCCAAGGGAGGAAGUGGGAAGUCUGGAAGCAGGGAGCCCCCAGCUAAGGGGGUGCCCUGGACAGCAGGACAAUGGAACAUUGCCAGUUGGGUGUUGUCCCUUCCCGGAGCCUCAGGAUGCUUCCUCAGCAGGGGUACCUGCCACACAGCAGCUGGAACAUCUCCCCAUUGAGCGACAGGACGUCCCUUCUCACAUGCCCGUUCACCGAGUGAAAGGGGAAAUAUCGUGCCCUGCACCAUCGCUGCCACCCACUGCCCCCCAGCCACCAUCAGGACUGGGGCUAUCAGGAGGCAGCAAGGGCAUCGAGGUGAUGGACUGGACAGCAGAUGCAGAGAGGGGCCUGACAUUCAUUGUGUAUGAGCUGGCAGGGGACCCGAGCUAUGAUGUUAUCCAGUCUUUCUUCCUGUCUCCCGGAGCCCUGUAUGUGCUGGUGGUGAAUUUGAGUGCCUACGUCCCUCAGCACUUUUACCCCUCUGUAGGCUAUUUCUUACACUGGCUUGGUUCCAAGGUGCCCCAUGCUGUGGUGUGUAUGGUGGGAACCCAUGCUGACCUCUGUGCGGAGCGGGAGUUGGAAGAGAAGUGCCUGGACAUCCAUCACCAGAUCGCUCAGCAGGAGAAGAGGGAUGCUGAGGGACUCCAGAGCUUGGUCCAGCAGGUGGAUGAGGCUCUGGGACAGGACUUUGACCUGCGCUGCUCCAGCCCGCACGCUGCCUUUUAUGGGGUCUCGGACAAGAACUUGCGGCGGAAGAAAGCCCAGUUUCAGUACCUGCUCACCCACCGCCCGCAGAUCCUCUCUCCAGUGCUGCCUUUCAGCUGCCGGGACCGCUGCCAGGUACAUCGCCUGCGGGACAAGCUCCUCUCGGUGGCUGAGCACCGAGAUAUCUUCCCAAACCUGCACCGUGUGUUGCCCAAAUCUUGGCAAGUGCUGGAAGAGCUGCACUUCCAGCCACAAGCUCAGCAACUGUGGCUCAGCUGGUGGGACUCUGCCCGGUUGGGCUUGCAGGCAGGCCUGACAGAGGAUCGACUCCAGAGUGCACUGUCCUACCUGCACGAGAGUGGGAAGCUGCUCUACUUUGAGGAGCACCUCACCUUGCGGGAGUAUGUGUUCCACAACCUGCCACGGCUCAUUGACAUCCUCAACGUCUUCUGCCAGCGGGAUGCUGCCGUGCUGCUCCAAAAACUGCUCAGCGACACCCAGAUAGAUGAACUGAGGGCCACUCAGCUCCAUCAUUACGUGGAGGGCUUCUUGCUGCAUGGCCUCCUGCCUGCCCAUGUUAUCCGUCUCCUUCUUAAGCCCCACAUCCAGAGCCGGGAGGAUCUGCAGCUCAUCCUGGAGCUGCUGGAGAAGAUGGGGCUCUGUUACUGUGUCAACAAACCCAAAUGCAAGCCCUUAAAUGGGGCGGCCGCUUGGUACAAGUUUCCUUGCUACGUGAAAAACGAGGUGCCCCAUGCAGAGGCUUGGAUCAACGGCGCCAGUCUGAGUGGACAGUCCUUCGUGGUCGAGCAGCUGCAGAUAGAAUAUAGCUUUCCAUUCAUUUUCCCACCCGGCUUGUUUGCACGCUACAGUGUCCAGAUUAACAGCCACGUGGUUCAGCGGUCAGAUGGCAAAUACCAGAUCUAUGCCUACCGGGGAAAGGUGCCCGUGGUGGUGAGUUACCGGCCUGCCAGGGGAGCUCUGCAGCCAGAUACUCUAUCUAUUGCUAGUCAUGCAUCCCUACCAAAUAUCUGGACAGCCUGGCAAGCUAUUACCCCUUUAGUGGAAGAACUGAAUGUCCUGCUCCAGGAAUGGCCGGGCCUGUACUACACUGUGCACGUCCUCUGUUCAAAGUGCCUUAAAAGAGGGUCACCCAACCCACACACUUUUCCAGGAGAACUGCUGAGUCAGCCGAGACCAGAGGGACUGACGGAGAUCAUCUGUCCCAAGAACGGCAGCGAGCGAGUUAAUGUUGCCUUGGUUUACCCCCCCACUCCUACUGUGAUCAGCCCUUGUUCCAAAUAAAUCGUCAGUGCUGGUGCCAAAGGUUUUACACCGGGCAGAACAUGGCUGAUGCUCUGCAGUGCUCCCAUCUCUCCAGUUGUGGAGUUGCAUGCUGACGGGGAUCGAUGGGACUUUGGACUCUGAAAUGCUGUGGGGCAGGGGCAGCUCUCAGGUGGGGCCUCAUGGCUGGAGUGGACGCAGUCACCUGGAGGUUUGGGAUGACAACGAGGCAUGAAGCAAAAUGAUUGCUGCAGAUGACAGGGCCACUGGCCAGAUGGAAAGCACUGGGGAUAGGAUUCUGUGGACCCAUUGAUCACAUGUUGAAAACCCAUUUGGAUCUCAUGAUGAAUGUAAAAAUGUUCUUGGUACCAUUUAAUUCAGACCUACUUGCAGGAGAGUCUCUUGAAAUGAGCUGUAGCAGGAUUCCCUGGAUUUGUUCCUGGACAAGAAGAAACUAGCGAUCUGUUGCUGUGAUGUUGCGUGGAAGCCACGUUGUAAAGAAACCACAAACUGGAAUCCUUUUCCAGCCGGAGGCCUGUUUCCCAGUGCGCCCAUCUGGUCUGGGAUGCGUGAGCAUUGAAGGAGUGAGAGGACAGAGCAGAUGUCUUGCAGCCUGCUCCUUGGGACCACAGCCCUCCUGCCAGGGCAUGCCACAUCAUCAGGAGCAUGGCAGUACCUGGCCUGUGCAGGCACUAAGUUGGCACUGAAGCUGAAAUGCCGGGAGCAUGGCAAAUCAACCUAGCUGGGUCUAUCUAAUAUAAAAUGGUGAUCACUCAUCCACCCACUGUUUGGUAACUGGUGUAA